UGCAAAAUGAUAAAUUGCAGUAAAGUAAAUUGUACAACGAUGUUUUUAUACUAGUUCAAAUUUAAUGUAAAUUCUUGUCUAGUCCUCUUGGGUUGCAAGAGAGUUCAUUACUUAACCAAUAUAGUUGACUAUGGUACUAUUUGUAAAUAUAAGUGCAAUAAAAAUGAUAAAUUGCAAUAAAGUAAAUUGAACAACGAUAUUUUUAUACUAGUUCAAAUUCAAUGUAAAUUCUUGUCUAGUCCCCUUGGGUUGCAAAAGUGCUCUCUGUGAUGGCUCCUUAUUAAAAUUGUUAUAAAGAGGUUGUGUGACUUCUUUACACUUCACAAUCUUUUUUUUGAGAUUAUUUCCUUAAUAUCUGCUUGACAGAGAGAUGACAACCCAAGAGAUUUGAUCCUUGAAAGAUAUUCCAAGAAUAAAGUUGGGAGCCUUCCAAGAUACAGCUUGAUUAUCGCAUAUAUGAUUUCUUUGUGGUUUGCUUUGAUUUAGAAUAAUCUUAGUCAAAAACCCCAUCAAGUGUUUGAUUUGUGCUUGCGAGAUUCCUCAUUAGUUGAAUCACCAAAAUUGAUUCUUCUUUCCUUAGAGAUGACAACUCAAGAGAUUUGAUCAUUGGAAGAUAUUCCAAGAAUAAAGUUGGGAGACUUCCAAGAUACUGCUUGAUUAUCGCAUAUAUGCUUUUUUUUGUGGUUUGCUUUGAUUUAGGACAUUCUUAGUGAAAAACCCCAUCAAGUGUUUGAUUUGUGCUGGCGAGAUUCCUCAUUGGUUUAAUCACCAUAAUUGAUUCUUCUUUUCUUGCAAGCCGCUAUCUUCCAACUCUCGAUUGAUUCUUCUUUCCUUGUAAUUUGUUGUCUUCUUUUUCCUUAUGCAUCCGUUAUCCUUUUUUUUUUCUUUUUGCGCAAGUAUAUUUACCUUCAUCAGUGUAAUUCUGCAAUUGCACAAGUGAAGUCAUCAAUAAAACAAGGCAAUUAGUCUC